rnacentral:misc_RNA from 1 species
AGGAGACAGGUAGAGUUUCAUGCUAUCCAAUGUAAAUAUGCAUUUCUUUUAUGAAGUGUGCUGUGUAAAACUAUAGCUUCUUUAAAAUAGUUAUGUUUAUGUAUGUAAUAAAAAAUAAACUUUGAAUCCUUUCACUAGGUUGGGAGUGAAAUUGUGCGAGUCUGUCGACAAACAUAUUUAUCUGUACAAAAUAUCGGGAUUUAACGUGUGAAACAAG